rnacentral:misc_RNA from 1 species
AACCUUAUGGACCUGCGGGCGUAUACCUGCGGAAGGAUCAUUACCGAGUUUACAACUCCCAAACCCCUGUGAACAUACCUUUAUGUUGCCUCGGCGGAUCAGCCCGCGCCCCGUAAAACGGGACGGCCCGCCGCAGGACCACAAAACUCUGAUUUUAGUGUAACUUCUGAGUCUAAAAAACAAAUAAAUCAAAACUUUUAACAAUGGAUCU